AGAACGAACGCUGGCGGCGUGGAUAAGACAUGCAAGUCGAGCGGGAUUUCGUUAGUAAGGCAAUACCGAAGGAAGUCUAGCGGCGAACGGGUGCUUAACACGUGGGCAACCUGCCAAGAAGUGGGGGAUAGCUCGCCGAAAGGCGAAUUAAUACCGCAUGUGAUUAGAGUGGACAUCCAUUCGAAAUUAAAGUCGGGGCAACCUGACGCUUUUUGUGGGGCCCGCGGCCUAUCAGCUAGUUGGCGGGGUAACGGCCCACCAAGGCGAAGAUCGGUA
rnacentral:rRNA from 1 species